rnacentral:tRNA from 1 species
GAGGGUACAGCUCAGUGGUAGAGCACAUGCUUAGCAUGCAUGAGGUCCUAGGUUCAAUCCUCAGUACCUCCA